rnacentral:rRNA from 1 species
UUCGCAAUGCCCGAAAGGGUGACGAAGCGACGCCGCGUGUGGGAUGAAGGCCCUCGGGUUGUAAACCACUGUCGGGAGUUAAGAAUUGUAGGGGUGCUAGUAGUAUUUCUACUUGACUAAGGCUCCGGAGGAAGCCACGGCUAACUCUGUGCCAGCAGCCGCGGUAAUACAGAGGCGGCAAGCGUUGUUCGGAAUUAUUGGGCGUAAAGAGCAUGUAGGCGGCUAUGUAAGUCGGUUGUGAAAGCCUUCCGCUUAACGGAAGAAUGGCGGUCGAAACUGCAUGGCUUGAGUGCGGGAGGGGAGAGUGGAACUUCUGGUGGAGCGGUGAAAUGCGUAGAUAUCAGAAGGAACGUCGGCGGCGAAAGCGACUCUCUAGACCGUAACUGACGCUGAGUGUGCGAAAGCUAGGGGAGCAAACGGGAUUAGAUACCCCGGUAGUCCUAGCCGUAAACGAUGGGCACUAAGUAGAGGGGUUUU